ACCCACUCCAGUGUUCUUGCCUGGAGAAUCCCAGGGAUGGGGGAGCCUGGUGGGCUGCCAUCUAUGGGGUCGCACAGUCAGACACGACUGAAGUGACUUAGCAGCAACAUUGAAUUUGUGUCAGAUCAUCAGAGUGAUCCUUUGGGGGCACAUUUUCACUUAUGUUUGCUAUAGAAUGAACUCAUGGGAACUUCCCUGGUGAUCCAGUGGUCAAGACUUCACCUUCCAAUGCAGGGGGUGCAGGUCUGAUCCCUGCUUGGGGAGUUAAGAUCCCACGUGCCUUGUGGCGAAAAAAACAACAUCAACAACAGAAGCAAUAUUGUAACAAAUUCAAUAAACGCUGUAAAAAAAAAAUGGUCCGCACUAAACAAAAAAGAACUCAGAAAGUGCCACUGAAACUCAUCCAAGGAACCAAGGAAGGGUCCCAAAUUUCUUGAAGUCUCAGAAUAUCCUGUUUUUAGGACCAGGUCUGUGGAGCAGCCUCCUAAAGUACUGAAAGGGACAGACCCCACUCUGCAGUAACUGUGCACUCAUUUCCCCACUGAUGGUUUUCAUAGCCUACAAAGAGCAGCGCGUCCAUGAAGACACAAUUCAUGGACAAUGUCCUGUGGAUAAAAGAGCACAUGGGGGACAACCAGUUAGCAAAGAAGGCUGGUGUUUUCAGUCAGUAAUUCCUUACUGGUUUGCGUUGGUGCAGCCAUAAAUGGAGUCUCAACCUUUGUCACUGGAGAUGGUGCAAGUUAUAGGAACUAUAAUCCAUUAGAAGUAUGUCUUCUCUGUAUUUUGACUCUUAGGAACAUUUUGUUUCAGACAGAUGUCAAAUGGAAGAUUUGUAUCUGGAGUCUUCCGGCCUGCCUUGAUGGUUUCUUCCACCGGCAAAGUGAAGAAGGGGGUCUCACACUUACUCACCCAUUCAUUCUUGGUGGAGCAAUUGCUAGAAGAUCACUGUGUUAGGAUGGGCUUCUGAUGAAAAGUACCAGAUAAAUGGAACACGUCAUGGAUUGUUUCAUACGUAGGCAUAUGGAUCCUAGCUCCCCAACCAGAGAUUGAAUACACGCCCCCUGCAUGGCAAAGUUAAGUCUUCACCACUGGACCACCAGGGAAGUCCCCAUAAGGGCUUCAAACAGUGAUCCCUACGUCGACCAUGAAUUAUGGUGAGAUUUUAAUAAAUCAUGAAGUGCUUUCUUGCUCCCUCCACUUCCUCUCAGAAUGGUUUCAGCUUUAGAAUGGAUCACAAGAUGUGUUUUUUGAGUCAAGAAACUGAUUAAGGUAAGCUUUAAAGAGGUGGCUGGAUUUUAGUCUGACUUCAGUGACAUCCAGAAAGCAAAGAUCCCUCUGCACUGCCCAGGUGAUGGGAGUCCUGGGCCUUCAGUGACUGAACUCUUAUGUGACAGGUGGCCAGAGUCUUCCAUGGUCACGUCCUAGAGCCCAUCACCUCUUUUGUCAAAUGUCAUGGAAUUGAUAAGAUUUCGGAAUUAGAUAAAACAUUCUAGACUCAUUUUUCAGAUGAAGAAACUAAGGCCCAAGGAUGAAGUGACCAGCUCAGUUAAGGCCACUGUUCUUAGAAGAAAUGCUGUAGUUGGUCAAUGGGCCUCGUGCUCUUCCACUGGAGGCCCUUCCUCUCAUCCAGGUGUUUCCUCCAACAUUCCCUUCACAAAGUGACAGGUAAGAAGUGCAUUGAUUUAUUUGGAAAGAAACACACUCCACAGACAGUGUGGGCCAUCUCAGAAAGCGAGUGUGUGUCAGUUGCUGGAAAUAUGUGGGCUGGGUGAUGAGUGGGAGGAUUAUUCCUGCUGUUUUGGGGAAGGGGUGGAGAUUUCCAAGUAUUGGGCCACUGCUUACUAUUGGGUCUUUGUUGGUCCUUAAAGGAGUUUAUCAUUAAGUCUCAGGGCAGUAAAAAAAGAAAAGCACAAAAUAGGGUGUGGUACUUCCAUCAGCCUGGGAUUCUUGCUUCUGCAGAGUUGGUUGUUCACUUUCCUUCCAAAAAAAAAAAAAAAGUCUUCGUUGCACACAUGGCAUUUGCCUGGUCCUUUCUCAGAGUCAUGCUAAUGUGGGGAGAUUUGAAAUAACCACCCUGGGGCACGGAUGUUUUUAACAUAACCAUAAUUCUGUAGGGAGUGGGUCUCAAAGUGUGGCCCUGGACUAGUGACAUCUGUAUUGCCAGGGAGCUUAGGAGAAAUGCAGAUUCUUGGGUCCCUCCCCAGACCUAUUGGAUCAGAAACAGGUGUGGCAGGCAUGGGGUUCCAUACAAUAAAGUUUGAGAGCUAUACUGCAAGGCUAAGUCCUGUAGUUUAGUAGUUGGCAACUUGGUUGCAUAUGGGGCCCCCAAGGAGCUUAAAACACCAAUACAGUAUACUAACGCAUAUAUAUGGAAUUUAGAAAGAUGGUAACAGUAACCUUGUAUACGAGACAGCAAAAGAGACACUGAUGUAUAGAACAGUCUUUUGGACUC